rnacentral:rRNA from 1 species
UACGUAGGGGGCAAGCGUUGUCCGGAAUCAUUGGGCGUAAAGAGCGUGUAGGCGGUCCGGUAAGUCGGCUGUGAAAGCCCCGGGCUCAACCUGGGAAUUGCAUUCGAGACUGAAUAGCUAGGGUGCGGUAGAGGGAAGCGGAAUUUCCGGUGUAGCGGUGAAAUGCGUAGAUAUCGGAAGGAACAUCAGUGGCGAAGGCGGGCUACUGGGCCGAUACUGACGCUGAUGCGCGAAAGCCAGGGGAGCGAACGGG